UAGCCCUACGGGACGCAGCAGUGGGGAAUAUUGGGCAAUGGGCGAAAGCCUGACCCAGCAACGCCGCGUGAAGGAAGAAGGCUUUCGGGUUGUAAACUUCUUUUGACAGGGAAGAGCAGAAGACGGUACCUGUCGAAUAAGCCACGGCUAACUACGUGCCAGCAGCCGCGGUAAUACGUAGGGGGCAAGCGUUAUCCGGAUUUUCUGGGUGUAAAGGGAGCGUAGACGGCAGUGCAAGUCCGGAGUGAAAGCCCGGGGCUCAACCCUGGGACUGCUCUGGAAACUGUAAAGCUGGAGUGCGGGAG
rnacentral:rRNA from 1 species